UCUCGAUUAAUUGUGGAAUAGAUAACUCUCGCUAACUUCCGCUCUCAUGGAGAGGGAGACGCCGGAGCUCGUGGCGCCGGCGACCUUCCUCCGCGGGGAGGAGGGGGCGUCCCCGGAGUCGGUGCGCGCGCGGUUCGAGCGCAUGAUCCGGCGCAUGCAGGCGGAGGUCUGCGCGGAGCUAGAGGCGGUCGAGGGCGGCGCAAGCGACGGCGGCGGAGCCGCGCUGUUUCGGGAGGAUGCUUGGACGCGCCCCGGCGGCGGUGGCGGAAUAAGCCGCGUGCUCCAGGGCGGCCGCGUGUUCGAGAAGGCCGCGGUGAACGUCUCCGUGGUCUACGGGGUCAUGCCUCCUGAGGCGUACCGCGCGGCGAGGCCUGAAGCCGCGGCGGCGGCUGGAGGGGAGAAGGCCGGGCCGGUGCCCUUCUUCGCGGCCGGCGUCAGCUCGGUCAUUCAUCCAGUGAACCCAUUUGCUCCAACAAUGCAUUUCAACUACCGGUAUUUCGAAACAGAGGCACCUAAAGAUAUCGUGGAGGAUGAUGCACCAUUCUCUGCAGAUGCACCUGGUGCACCUAGGCAGUGGUGGUUUGGAGGUGGUACUGACCUGACGCCUUCGUAUAUCAUUGAAGAGGAUAUCAAGCACUUCCAUUCCGUUCAGAAACAAACGUGUGAUAAAUUUGAUCCUAGCUUUUAUCCUAGAUUCAAAAAAUGGUGUGAUGAUUACUUUUAUAUCAAGCAUCGUGGUGAACGGCGUGGGGUGGGUGGAAUAUUUUUUGACGAUCUUAGUGACUAUGAUCAGAAAACUCUCCUUCAAUUUGCUACAGAUACGUCUAAGGACCCCUUUGGCAGGGCUCCACGAGCGGCUCCAAAACCGGCUCCAGCCGGAGCCCUGUCAAACACGGUGCUUCGCCAUCGGCUCCAGCUCCAAAGUCCUAGAGCCCCGGAAAAGACGCUCUUUGGAGCACUUUGGGGAGGCGGAGCCAGAAAACGUGGCUCCGUCCGGCUCCGCCUCACCCUUUGCCAACCCUGCCCCCGGGUGCCCGUGGCAGCGCAGCAGCGAGAGGAGGGCGGAGGACAGCCAACGGCGUGGACGACGGCUCCCGCGACAGUAGAUGGAGGAGGCGGGCGGAGGUGCCUGCGGCGGCCGGCGGCGGGAGGGAGGGCGAGGAGCGCGCGGCCGGCCGCCACCGGCCGGAGUGCGAGGGAGGCUGCGGGAGUGGUGUGGGCAGCGAGGGGGAAUGGGAGAAGGAGAGAGAACGUGAGAAAAAUAAGAAGAGAAAAUAGAAAAACAAGGGUAAUUUGGACAUUUCAUCCUUUUAGACAAUAUGAAGAAGCCAUUUGCCAAAUGUUUUUUUCAAAAUGGCUUCAGCUCCACCGGAGAAGCUGCUCCACUAGAGGAGCCGGAGGUGGAGCCGUUUUUGGAGAAGCAGGAGCCCUACCAAACAGGCCCUAACUCAUGGUAAACCAUCUUGUAACUGCUGACUAAAAUUGUGCCUGUUGAGGUGCUUUCUUUCCAUCUCUGCAGAGUGCGCAGAUUCAGUUCUACCUGCAUAUAUACCCAUUAUAGAACGCCGCAAAGACAUUCCAUUUACUGAGGAGCACAAGGCAUGGCAGCAGCUACGGAGAGGUCGCUAUGUGGAAUUUAACCUCGUUUAUGAUCGGGGAACCACAUUUG